UAUAAAUAUAUUAAAUAUUUUAAUGGGGGUUAAAGUAUUUUAAUAGAAAAAAUUUAAAAUUUUAUAAUGAAUUAUUUAUUGUAUUGUGAAAGAAAUUUGAAAUAAUUAUGAAAAUAAAUUUAUUAAAAAGUAAUUUUAAUUUAGUGUAUCUUGUGUAUCAGAGUUUAUUAAAAAAUAUUUUUAGUGGAAAAAAAAUUCUCGAAUUUAAGAGAGAGAAUUAAUUAAAAAAGUUAUUGUUGCAUAAAUAUUUUAAAUAAUUAAUUUGAAAUGAAAUGUUAUUCGUUCUUAAAUAUAUCUAGUUUUUUUAGAAAAAAAUUAAAUUUUAAAUUUAUAUAAUAAUAAAUUAAUUUAUUAAUUUAUUAUUAUAUAAAUUGUAUAUUUUAAGGGAUAAGCUUUAAAUUAAAUUAAUAUAAUUAAAAAUUAAAUUUUUGAAAUUUAUAUAAUUUAUAUUGUUAAUAAAUUUUAAUUUAUUAUAAAUAAUUUCAUUUAAAAAUAAAAUUUAAUGUUAUAAUUUAUUAAUUUAUAAAAAAAUAAUUUUUAUUAAAAUAAUAUUAGUUAUAAUGAUAAAAUUAGUAUAUAAAUUGAAUAAAUUUAAUUAUGAAUUUGUAUAUAAAUUUAAGUUAAUUAUUUUUAAGGAAUUCGGCAAAUAUAUAUAUUCACUUGUUUAUCAAAAACAUGUCUUUUUGAAAAUAAUAUAAAGUCUAAUCUGCCCACUGAUAAAUUAUUGAAGGGCUGCAGUAUAUUGACUGUACAAAGGUAGCAUAAUCAUUAGUCAUUUAAUUGAUGACUUGUAUGAAGGAUUGGAUGAAAUAUAAACUGUCUUAAAUAUAAAAUAUAGAAUUUAAUUUUUUAAUUAAAAAGUUAAAAUAAAUUAAAAAGACGAGAAGACCCUAUAGAGUUUUAUAUUUAAUUAAAUUAUAUUUUUUUAUAAAUUAAAAAUUUUUAAUUUAAUUGAAUAUUUUAUUGGGGUGAUAAAAAAAUAAAAAUAACUUUUUUUAUAUGAAUACAUGAAUAAGUGAAAAUAUGAUCCAAUUUUAUUGAUUAUAAGAAAAAAUUACCUUAGGGAUAACAGCGUAAUUUUUUUUUUUAGUUCAUAUAAGAAAAAGAGUUUGCGACCUCGAUGUUGGAUUAAGAUAAAAUUUAAAUGCAGAAGUUUAAAAUUUUUGAUCUGUUCGAUCAUUAAAAUCUUACAUGAUCUGAGUUCAAACCGGUGUAAGCCAGGUUGGUUUCUAUCUUUUAAAAACAUAAAUAUUUUAGUACGAAAGGAUUAAGUAUUUAAAUUAAAUUUAAUUUUUUGAAUUUUAUUAAAUAAUA
rnacentral:rRNA from 1 species